ACACACACCGGGAUCAGGGAGAGGGAAAGGGCAGCCUGGCGUAAGAAAAUAUUUACCAGUGACUCAGGCGCAACCAGGGGGUGCAAAGUCUUACCAAGGUGACUGAGAGGGCAGCGUAGGUGCCAGCUAAUAGAUCUGCUCUAGUCACAUGGGUCAAAGGAGUGUUGACAGAUCAUGUUAAUCGGUAAUGUUACCUAUUGUUAGAUAUCUGUGGGUCCCUGGUCUUCAGCGAGGCAGUUUCUUUAACCCCCUCAUCACCGUAUUUCUUCCAACGAGGAAUAUAUGUAAAAAAUAUCCACCCUCCCCCCAAAUCCCGGGCAAUUAGUUAAUUGUGAUCUUUUUUUUUUUUUACACCGAAGAACUUGCAGACCUGACGUCUAGGGAGGGAACAGAUCAGGGUUUAUGUGUGUUUAUCCUUCUGUCCGCUGGCUAUGAACUCUUCCCCUGGCCUUCACGGUAGGGUUUAAUAUUUCCCAGUAAUAUUUCACUCCAGAUUCAGCGACCCAAGGGGACACUCUCCUGCUAGCACUGAACCCAAUGGAGAAAUUCUCCUUCACUUCAGCUGGGCCCCAGGAACACAAGCUAAAAGAAAGGGGCGCCAGAGAAACGCUGGCCCUGGGGUUCAAGCCACAUCCUCACAGGCUGUAGUCAAACGAAUAGAAAAAUCUCAGUCACCAGGGGACAAAGAGGGGGAGGCAAAGUCCCAGCUAGGUAGGAUGUCCUUCUUCGAUGUUCUUGGGCCAAGGAGGGACUCUAGCAUAAAGAUGCUCUGAUACUCACUUGAUAGAUUGUCAUUCUUGACAGACUACAAAUAGAGCAUCAGUCUGUGAUGAGCCACGCAGCCUGGGAUCCAUUUGUGAAUUAGGAUGAUCUCUAAAACGCUGAUUGCAGUAGUAAUUUCCGGCACUAAAUCCUAUUAUUUAACAGAGAUGUGUACAUGCAAUAACAGGAUAUUCCCAGGCAAGCAACACUUUCCUAUGAUACAGGUACAAGACUUCAUUCUCCUUGCAAUCAUUUCCCUUCCCUUCCGUUUUGAAAGGCGCCUGACAAAGCGAUCAAGAUUCCCCAAAGGCCAUUGGGUAAACCAUCCAGCUGCGUAGAAUGGUUUGGGCUCCGCAUCCUUUUAACCAUAUAAUAACAGGACCGUGUCUGAAGUGUUGCCACUCAAGAUUUAGGAUGAUUCUCCAUUUGUAGCCUUUUCUCAGAGAGAAGGGCCAUUUCCAGGCACUUUCGCUUGUACCUGGUAUUAGGGGGAAUUUAAUGAAGAUGCUAAAGGUCUUGGGGGGCAUUUGUGCUAAAGAUAAAUUCAGGCAGUUGUAACCAUUCGAUCUGCUACAAUCUGUGCAGCUGCUGCUGCUUGCUGAGAGCUGGACAAUUUAGCAGCCACUGUGGUUCUGGACCCAGACGCUUGCACUGACACACCAAUGCUGGAUGAAGUGAAGUGUGUCAUCUGCAAACUGGAAAACAGACGUACAACCUGCACUGAUGGCAUCCUUCUAGAGCUCCUAAAAUGCGCUAUUGACCCUGUAGCGGAAUCACUUCUGGCCAUCUUUCGUCCGGUGUGGAGAACUGGAACCUUGCCAAUCACCUGGAAGGAUGGUAUUGUGAUCUCAUUUUAUAAGGGCAAGGGACAGCGCAGUGAAUGUAAGAGUUACAGGCCAAUCCCCUUGUUGUCUGUGCCAGGGAAGAUGUUUGCACCUGUUCUGCUGGCGUGUACAUCAGUAGCAUCGCCCCUAAUAAUCAGGCUUUAUGAGGAACGGGUCCAUAUUAGACACCAUUUUGACCCUAAGCUUGUUGUUGGAGAUACACCACAAGUUCAAGAAGUUCCUGCACAUAGUGUAUGUCGAUCUUAAGGCUGCAUUUGAUUCAGUUGACUGUGUCAGAUUAUGGAAGGCCUCAAAGGGUAUAGGUGUCCCAAUCACUGCUGGACUUGAUUAGCAUGCUGCAUAAUGCAACCACUGUCUGUGUAUGUCUUGGGAAUCAGAUGUUGGCAUCUUUUAAAUCAGUAUCUGGUGUCAGGCAGGGCUGUGUCUUGGGCCCUGAACUCUUUUGUCGGACAAUGGAUUUCAUAAUACAGUAUUCCAUCAGGUCCACAGGCAUUUAAGAUUGGUGAUCUCUUGCUCUUGGACCUUGACUAUGCUGAUGACAUGGUUCUUCUAGUACACAGCCCCGACAAGUUUCAUGAGGCAUUCUAGCAAAUGGAGGAGGAGUCGGCCAAGAUUGGCCUCUAUGUUUUGUGGUCAAAAACAAAGCUGCAAAACCUAUCAUCAGGUCCACCCAUGACUCCAAUCUCUUUGAAUAAGAAAUUGCCAAAGCAGUCUCCAGCUUUUGCUAUUUGGGUUCUAUACACCUGUUCCUCCAACUCUCACAUGGAAGUACUUCAUCGGAUUGGCAUCACAGAGUCUGCUAUGGAAUCAACAUCAUCUCCAGAUGACAACCAAGUUCAGGAUCUAUUUGAGCUGUAUCCUUUCCAUACUGCUGUACAAUUGUAAAACAUGGACCCUAUGCUGCUCAGACUGGGCAAAGCUGGAGGCUUUUCACACAUAAUACUAAUGUCAUUUAUUGGGCAUAAAUUGGAACGACUUCAUUUGUAAUGCAGAUGUUUGCAGAUUCUCUAGUCUACAGGCUAUUGGGGCCAUUGUACAUAGAUGGUGUCUUACACUUUUCGGAUAUGUCACCAGAAUGCCACAUGAUGUUCCAGCAAACGCUGUUCUUCAGGUGGCUUGCAACAUCUGGGAUAAAAUUCCACCAACUGAGGGCUGGAGGUGGCCUAAAGGAAGACCCACUAUUACAUGGGUUCUAACAUUGGACUCUUGGUCUGUCAAGCCCGUGCGGCCACACAGGAAUGGACCAAAUGGCGAACGAUAGCUACAGCCAACCAUUUGGCUAAGUGUUGAAGAAGAAGAAAAAAGUGUUUCUCAAUUACUUAACCUCACAGGAAAACUAUUCUUCUAUAUGUAAAUUUUCCUUGGGGUAACAGGAGUUUGGCAAAUGUGAUUACAGACUUAUUUAAAAUGGAAUCAAAGAGAGACAGAUAGUUCUUUAGAAAUUAUUUUCUUCUCCAUAGUGGCCACCUUUAACACUUUUUUAUGCCUCAGUUUUAAUAAUCUAUAUUAAUGUUGUUUUUUAGCUGAUUUUAAUGUCAGCUAGGGAUUAAUGUGUAUUAAUUAAAUUGACUGUAUUUUCUUUAAUGAGCAGAAAAAAGAUUUCAUGUUAAUGCUGAUGAUCGUAAGAAGGAUUUUGUCUACUUCUCUGUAUUUUCUCAACAUCUUGAAAUAUUUUAUUAGAAAAUGAAUUAAUUUAGUUACAGUUGCCUGGUAAAAACAAACCAAACCAGGUGACUGCAAACUGGUUCUGUCGUUACUGAGAUGUAUGACGAUCAAACCAUAAUAUUUUCACUUAGUAAAAUAUGAAUUCACUGUGAAACAUUAUUUUGUGCUAAAUACGUAAUUUAUGCUG